AUACGUAGGGGGCGAGCGUUGUCCGGAAUGAUUGGGCGUAAAGGGCGCGUAGGCGGCUUUGCAAGUCAGUAGUGAAAGUCCUGCUUUCAAGGUGGGAAUUGCUUUGGAUACUGCCGCGCUUGAGUGCAGGAGAGGUUAUCGGAAUUCCCGGUGUAGCGGUGAAAUGCGUAGAGAUCGGGAGGAACACCAGUGGCGAAGGCGGGUAACUGGACUGCAACUGACGCUGAGGCGCGAAAGUGUGGGGAGCAAACAGGAUUAGAUACCCUGGUAGUCCACACUGUAAACGAUGAAUGCUAGGUGUAAGAGGUAUCGACCCCUUUUGUGCCGGAGUCAACACAAUAAGCAUUCCGCCUGGGGAGUACGGCCGCAAGGUUGAAACUCAAAGGAAUUGACGGGG
rnacentral:rRNA from 1 species